UGCAGAAAUACCCCAUCUGAUUAUUGCGUCUCAUGGCGAUUGCAUUUUCAGCAUUGAAGGGUCUCCAUUGACUGCCCAGGGGUGGAGACAUUUGGGCCAUCAGUCCACCCUCUUUGAGUGACGGAGGCAUCCCUGUGAGUGCAGUAGACGGGGCCCGUGACAGGAGGAGCCACGCCGUGACCCAACCCCUCACAGGAGGAGAAACUCUUCGUUGAGCUCCAGGACGGGCAGACCCACGGGAGCCAGCACUCGGCUAACACCAGCAAAUAGGAUGAAAUUAUUGUGUAAUGACGUGUGGGCUUUGGUGCAGUCUGCAUAUUACACCACAGGACCAAAGGCCAGAUUGAGAGAAACAGAAAGUCUGCAGAGAACCCUGCUCUGUGCUCUUUUGGCAGAACAGCCGUUUUAGAAAAAUUGGGGUUUAGGAAAUAAUGUGCCUUUGAAGUAGGAGGCACAUACAUAUGUAUCAGAGUUUAAUAUAUAUAUACUUCUUUUGACCCUUAAGUCUUUAAAGAGCAAGGUCAAGGACGAGAGCAGCAAGAAUUGCAUUUAUUAAUACAUUUUUGUUUUUA